GUGGGGAAUAUUGGACAAUGGGCGAAAGCCUGAUCCAGCCAUGCCGCGUGUGUGAAGAAGGUCUUCGGAUUGUAAAGCACUAUAAGUUGGGAGGAAGGGCAGUAAGUUAAUACCUUGCUGUUUUGACGUUACCGACAGAAUAAGCACCGGCUAACUUCGUGCCAGCAGCCGCGGUAAUACGAAGGGUGCAAGCGUUAAUCGGAAUUACUGGGCGUAAAGCGCGCGUAGGUGGUUUUGUAAGUUGGAGGUGAAAUCCCCGGGCUCAACCUGGGUACUGCCUCCAAAACUGCAUGACUAGAGUACGGUAGAUGGUAGUGUAAUUUCCUGUGUAGCGGUGAAAUGCGUAGAUAUAGGAAGGAACACCAGUGGCGAAGGCGACUACCUGGACUGAUACUGACACUGAGGUGCGAAAGCGUGGGGAGCAAACAGGAUUAGAAACCCUAGUAGUCC
rnacentral:rRNA from 1 species